UACGUAGGUGGCGAGCGUUGUCCGGAAUUACUGGGUGUAAAGCGCGUGUAGGCGGGAGGCCAAGUCUGGGGUGAAAUCGCUCGGCUUAACUGGGCGGGGUCCAUGGAAACUGGUCACCUGGAGGUCGGUAGAGGCAAGUGGAAUUCCCGGUGUAGUGGUGAAAUGCGUAGAGAUCAGGAGGAACACCGGUGGCGAAGGCGGGUCUCUGGGCCGAUACUGACGCUGAGGAGCGAAAGCGUGGGGAGCGAACAGG
rnacentral:rRNA from 1 species